GGAGCGUUCUGUAAGCCUGCGAAGGUGUGCUGUGAGGCAUGCUGGAGGUAUCAGAAGUGCGAAUGCUGACAUAAGUAACGAUAAAGCGGGUGAAAAGCCCGCUCGCCGGAAGACCAAGGGUUCCUGUCCAACGUUAAUCGGGGCAGGGUGAGUCGACCCCUAAGGCGAGGCCGAAAGGCGUAGUCGAUGGGAAACAGGUUAAUAUUCCUGUACUUGGUGUUACUGCGAAGGGGGGACGGAGAAGGCUAUGUUGGCCGGGCGACGGUUGUCCCGGUUUAAGCGUGUAGGCUGGUUUUCCAGGCAAAUCCGGAAAAUCAAGGCUGAGGCGUGAUGACGAGGCACUACGGUGCUGAAGCAACAAAUGCCCUGCUUCCAGGAAAAGCCUCUAAGCAUCAGGUAACAUCAAAUCGUACCCCAAACCGACACAGGUGGUCAGGUAGAGAAUACCAAGGCGCUUGAGAGAACUCGGGUGAAGGAACUAGGCAAAAUGGUGCCGUAACUUCGGGAGAAGGCACGCUGAUAUGUAGGUGAAGUCCCUUGCGGA
rnacentral:rRNA from 1 species